rnacentral:tRNA from 11 species
GGAUUAGUAGUCAAGUGGUUACGACAUAGCUCUUUCGAUGCUACCAUCGCAGGUUCGAAUCCUGCCUAGUCUA